rnacentral:rRNA from 2 species
UACGUAGGGGGCGAGCGUUGUCCGGAUUUAUUGGGCGUAAAGAGCUCGUAGGCGGUUUGGCAAGUCGGGUGUGAAAACUCCGGGCUCAACUCGGAGACGCCACUCGAUACUGCCAUGACUCGAGUCCGGUAGGGGAGUGCGGAAUUCCUGGUGUAGCGGUGAAAUGCGCAGAUAUCAGGAGGAACACCGGUGGCGAAGGCGGCACUCUGGGCCGGUACUGACGCUGAGGAGCGAAAGCGUGGGGAGCGAA